CACACCUCCAAGCAGCGAGUAGGUGAAAAUCCAUGAUGCUAUUUUUUCAGUGUCACUUAGUUUGAUAAAUUUAUAGAGCCUGACACCUCCCAAACAACUAUAGUUCAUUCAUUCUGUGUGCUGUUUUUUGUUUUUAGGAUGUGUAUCUUCAGAACAGUGCUCUCUAGAUCGGUGGUGAGACCUUUUUCUUCACUUGGUUAGAGAGCAGUGCUACAUACAAGAAGCUCUCAAACUCGUGAGAAAAUGCCAAGCAAUAAUGACAUUACUGUAGAGGAUCCAUAAAAUUGCACUUCUUGUCAAGUUACAACAUAAAAGGUCUAUGGUUUUAACAGCUUCAAUCUGAACUACAAUGACUUAAAUUUAUUAUUAUUAUUGUUGUUGUUGUUAUUAUCAUCAUCAUCACCAUUAUUAUUAUUAUUAUUAUUAUUAUUUAUUAUCAUUAUUCAUUCCCCCAGCCCCACAUCAGAUCUAGUAAGCUCAAGACACAGACACUCAUUGUUUGUGUCAUUUUAAGAACAUUAUUAUAAUUAUAAUUAUUGCUUAUACUACAAGUUUUGUAAAUAUUCUUGAUAUUACAUGUAUUUCUCCAUGGAGAAGAAAGGCACACCUCCAUGCUCCUCCUUCAUAUUAUCAUUUACUGAGCUUUAUUCCUCGAGUUUUCAGAAAUAAAGAUAACUGAAGUUUUUGCCUGGUCAGGCUACCAAUAUUAUUAUUAUAAUAAGUCUGCCCAGUGAGUUAGUCUUUAUU